GAUGAAGAACGUAGCGAAAUGCGAUAAGUAAUGUGAAUUGCAGAAUUCAGUGAAUCAUCGAAUCUUUGAACGCACAUUGCGCCCGCCAGUAUUCUGGCGGGCAUGCCUGUUCGAGCGUCAUUUCAACCCUCAAGCCCCCGGGCUUGGUGUUGGGGAUCGGCGUGCCCUGGCGGCGCGCCGUCCCCUAAAUCUAGUGGCGGUCUCGCUGUAGCUUCCUCUGCGUAGUAGCAACACUCGCACUGGAUCGCAGCGCGGCCACGCCGUUAAACCCCCCACUUCUGAAAGUUUGACCUCGGAUCAGGUAGGAAUACCCGCUGAACUUAAGCAUAUCAAUAAGCGGAGGA
rnacentral:misc_RNA from 1 species